UGCUACUGGUUGGUUCAAAUAUGUUACAUUCUUAGCAGCGUAUCAUAUCAAUGAUUAUGCUAAGGAAAUUAUUUCUCAACAACUGCGAGCCAUCUGUCACGAUUUUUUUCCCAGUAGGCUACAGAGCAGGUGUACUGGAAGGAUUGUUUUACUACGAAACGGCAGCUAUACCGGUGCAUGGUGGUUGAAAUGAAUAAUUAAUUGCAGGAAGGUGUCUGUGAUGGACGCACGUGUCGAAUUUAGCAUAGUAGAUUGAUUGUAAACCUGCACCAGUGGGAAGUUCUUCUGCAUAGCACUAUGGGUUAAACGUGGAUUAACGUUAGUAAAAUCCUGUAUGCUAGGUAUAUUUAACCACAACAUAAUAUACGUUGAAACUUUACUGAAAGAAAGACGGGAAGAAUGAAUAGGCUACUUAAUCAAGGCAGCUGGUCAAUGCAAAAGACAAGUUCUACACGGUGUUCCAUAAUGUCUGGGACCUGAAAGGUGGGACACCGUGAGACUCCACAGUCAUGGCCAUUGAAAUAAAGGUCAGUCGCUCUCCCUUUGGGCUGACAUGGUGUAACACGCAUCACUCACAGGGUGCUGACAGGCCUGUCGCUUCUCUAAUGAUACCUGCUGGCCAUCAGCGUCCUGUCUCUCAACGACCUUCACGAGACGCCCUCUCAAUGACUCUCCAGCCAGGUCAACCAUCCAACCUUUAUAUGAAAACUGAUAUUGACUGGGUGAUCCAAAAGCCCCUGCUGAGUCCCUCCCUCCUAAUGUAUAAAUAUGCAUGUAACUUAUUAGUUUGUAGUUAACUUUUCACAAGUAAAUGUAUUUGUUAAUGACAUACUUAAUUCAUAUAUUUCUAGAUUAAUAAUGAAUGUUAACAACUACAUUAGUUAAUGCCAAUUCAUG